rnacentral:tRNA from 1 species
GAGGGGCUAGGGCUCGGUGGCAGAGCGUCUGUCUCACAUGCAGAAGGUCGCAGGUUCAAUCCCCAGCAUCUCGACU